rnacentral:rRNA from 1 species
CCCUUAGAUGUUCUGGGCCGCACGCGCGCUGCACUGAUGCAUUCAACAAGCCUAGCCUUGACCGAGAGGUCCGGGUAAUCUUUGAAACCGCAUCGUGAUGGGGCUAGAUUAUUGCAAUUAUUAAUCUUCAACGAGGAAUGCCUAGUAAGCGUGAUUCAUCAAAUCGCGUUGAUUACGUCCCUGCCCUUUGUACACACCGCCCGUCGCUCCUACCGAUUGAAUGUGUUGGUGAGGAGCUCGGAUUGGCAGCAGUUGGUGGUUCGCCACCGGCUAUUGCUGAGAAGUCCUCCAAACCGCCCCAUUUAGAGGAAGGAGAAGUCGUAACA